GGCUGGUCCGAUGGUAGUGGGUUAUCAGAACUUAUUAACAUUAGUGUCACUAAAGUUGGUAUACAACCCCCCACUGCUACACUUGACUGGCUUUUA
ensembl:misc_RNA Y_RNA Y RNA